rnacentral:lncRNA from 1 species
GUAGGAGAGCUGCCUCUGAGAAACGACGUUCGAUCUUCUCUCCAUUUUAAACUUGCUCAGUAACCACAAAGACUGUAUGAAGGAGUUGGGAUCCCAUCCUGUCAUUGGAGGCAAAGAUGCUGAGCCGUGCACCAGAGAACCAGGAAACUCUCUGAAUAAUUGUAGGACUCCUGACAGGAAGAGGGCUUAUAACAUCCUUUACGCAGUGAACAGGAAAAUCCUGAGCCAAAGCAGCCUAGAAUGUGAGGUAAGUUUCACAACUUGACAGUCA